UAACCCACAGCCCCGACUCAUCUCUCUUUGUACGCUUUCCUCAAACCCUUGGUGUUCUUCCUCUUCUCUCAAAUCAAUGUUCUCAAGCAAUUAGUCUCAAACACUCUGCCACUAUACUGCCAUGUCCUUCCUCGCCAUCGAACUCUAUCAUGCCUCAUAUUUCACCUUCAAUCUUUGUUGAUCUUUGAUUCAGUCUUUCUCAUGGACGAGUGAGCUUCUUAUGGUGCUAGCCCUCGAUUAGCGUCUUUUCCCAACAAGAAAAUGUUCGAUUAUAAAACCCAGGUCAUUGAUCUGAUUUUACUUAUAACUAGCUUUCAAUUACAAAAUGUUUGAUUUUCAAGAUGAAUAGAUUUCUCAGUCUCUUAAUGAUCCAUAAAAUAUUCAUCCUCGUUAAUGUGGAUUUAGUUUGAAAACCAAGAACGAAUGCUUUAUUCAGAAUAUAUGAAUAUAGAUCCCUUGUAGCCAAUUAAAUUAAUUAAUAUUUUUUCUUAUGCUCGAUAAAUAAAUUGGAGUAUAUAUAUCCAAACAUGGAUGAGUAGGCCCAGUGAAGGGUUGGAGGUUUGUCUUUGGCCCCUUUUGAAUAGGUCUUGAUAUUGUUGAUGGCUGUAUUCUGAUGACAAGGGCGGUGCCUCCACUUUUGCCUUUUGAUGCAAAUAUAUUAUUAAAGUGAUUUUUACUUGUAUGUUCGUUAUGCUGGUAUUUUACUGUCAAAUAUGUCAUUAGUUUUUCCUGAUUUAUGGUUUUAUCCCCUGUUAUAGAUUGAAGAGGUUAAAGUUGGCGUAUGAUAAUUAGGAGAAAGCAUCUUGCCAUGCUGUGUAAUUGCUUUUAAAUUAGUUCGUUGGUGAAGAGGGUUACAUGACAAUGACACCCAUGUAUUCCUUCUAAAAGUAUAUUGUUAUGUAAUUAUAAUAAGUAAGAAAAUAAUCCAGAAUUAAUUAGGAUUUAAAUAUACUUAGAUAUGAUUUAUGAUUGGGUUUAGAUAGGAUUUGAUAUUUAAUUAUAUUAGGAUUUGAAAAAGUUUAGGUUUAGAUUGGAUUUGAUAUUUAAUUAUACUGUUAGGAUUUGGAUAAGAUUUGGUUUAUUAGAUAGGAUUUAAUAUUUAUUUAUAUUAGUAGGAUUUGGAUAGAUUAGGAUAUAUAUUCAUAUAAGAAUAAUGCUUAUAAAUAAGAGGCAUUAGACUAACUAUAAUGUCAUACUUGAUUUAUUGAAUUCAUAUUCAGUUUUUAUUUCUCCAUUUCUUUUCUCUCUUCAUAUUCAGACUUGAUAACUGGUGCACAAUUAAUGGAUGACAGGAAAUAGCUGGUAUGUGGCCUUGCUAUAUUUGCUUGUUUAAUUCACUGCUUUCUUAUUCUCAUGACAUGAUGAAUCUUUUCUAACUUUCAUUUCACGGUAAAUUACUCAAUUACUCCUUGCUAAGGGAACUAACAAUCACGUUUUUUAUGGAAUGCGAAUCACUAGUCAAUGGUUCAUUGAUCAAUAAUAUAAAGAAAAAAAUAAAAUAGUUUUCAUCUGUACUAUUGUUCUUUGGGCUGUAAUUAAUUAUGUUGUAAUUGAAAAAUCUGUGCACAACUAUUCUUUCUUUGCAGCUGGAUUUUCUGGGACUUUCCCUUUUCAAUGUUCUGGUGUUUGGUUUUGGGUUAAAACUGCUGAGAUGAUAUUUUGAGUGGGGCUACUUGGCAGGAACUAUUCAUUAUGUUGUGAAUGGAUUGAGAAGUUGAUCUUGAUAUUGGGUUUUUGAUUUUUUGUUUUUGGAUGCUGGGAUGAACUUUUGAGCUAUAAUGCUAGCGUUAAGUCUUAAGAGAGAAAGAGUGUUACUCAAGUUGAAAACUUCUUCCAUGUGUCUCUACCUGACAUACUUAUAUAUAUAUAUAUAUAUAUAAUUUUUUUUUAUGAUUGACUUGGUCUACCUGAAAAAUCUCUUGCUAUUUUGAUUUUGAUGCCUCAUUAUUUAAUUUACCACCUUUAAAACGUAGGGAAUUCCUGGCAUAUGUUUCCCUGUUAAGAUAUGCAUCUAAAAGCAUCAAAGCAACAUGCGAAUGGGAUAGGUCAAGGGGGAGUUCGUUUGGCAGCCACACUUAAUCGCGUUUUUAGGUGAAAUAGUAUGUCAUGAGCUAUCACUCUCAUCCACUUCAUGCUUCAAACUGAGAAUGAAAGGGAUUUACUUCCAUUAACUCAUGAGGACCAUGGACACUGACUGCAACAUGACAAGUUUUAAAUCUACAAGGUAACUAGGGAUGAAAAAAGUUCAGUGCCAGAGUCAUUUAUAGGAACCCCCUUAGAUGGAACUUUAAUGGAUGAUGUUUAUCAUGAUGCCAGAAAGUUUUUAAUUUGUUAUGUUGUUUCUCUUGCUUGCGUGUGUGCCUGUGGCAAUGAAUGAGCUGCGUCCUUGGGCCCCUCUAAGCUUGAAAGGUUAGCUGAGAUGAGCUGCUUGCUCUUAGUAGGUCUUGUUUCUGACUCUCGGUUGUAUAUAAAAUAAUAUUUCAAACGUGUGUAUAAAAAAACACAAUGAAAUAGGAAUGUAAUGCAUAACCCGAAAUACAUUAGUCAAUAUAAUUUGUAUUUAUUUUCUUUAAA